CUAUAACCCUAAAAAUUAUUAUCAUUGUAUCCCUGAUUCUUACCUAUAAAUAUAAAGCUUUGGUUUUCAAUAAUACACACAAAAGUUUUAUUGAGUUUUCUCUAUUCUCUUUUCCUCUCAUUUUAUAACAUCGAAUAUAACUUUGGAUUUAUUUCAAGAAACGAUUGCAUUUUUGAGUUAUGAGUAUAAGAAAACUACUAAAAAAAUUUUAGGAAAUUUUCUUUCCUAUUUCUCGCCAAAUUGUUUAGGAUAGAAAUAAGUGAAUCUAUUAAUUUUCAAUAGCUACAUACAGGAUCCGAAAUUAAUGGCAAAAAUCAAUUAAUUGGGAGUGGCCUUUCAGCAAAAUCUAUGCAAUUACCAAUGGCUUACCUGUCUGAAUUAGUACAGUAUUAAAUUUAACCUUUUUCACACUUCGAGGAAAGAAAGCCAGCAGCCACGCCAGUUCAACUUACGAAUCGAGCCUGUCCACAUGACAAAGGAAACAGACAGAGUUGUUCACCUUAAAACUCAAAGAAAAAGGGAGUGAAUCUCUGAAAUGAUGAUCAAAUUUGUGGGAAAAUGGAGACCUUCCCAUGAAGCAAUUGACUUGCAAUAUACUAGCCAUCUUUCUCUGCAUAGAAAGCCAGCAGCCACGCCAGUUCAACUUACUAAUCGAGCCUGUCCACAUGACAAAGGAAACGGACAGAGUUGUUCACCUUAAAACUCAAAGAAAAAGGGAGUGAAUCUCUGAAAUGAUGAUCAAAUUUGUGGGAAAAUGGAGACCUUCCCAUGAAGCAAUUGACUUGCAAUAUACUAGCCAUCUUUCUCGGCAUAGAAUGUAAGAAACAAGAGAAAACUGUUAAUUUCUUG
rnacentral:lncRNA from 1 species